GUGAAUCAUCGAAUUUUUGAACGCAAAUUGCGCUUCCUGGUAUUCCGGGAAGUAUGCCUGUUUGAGGGUCAGUAUUAAUAAAAAACGGGUUUGGUUGUAAAUUGUGUCGUUACCGGAGUUUGGGCUAUCUUAAUUUUUUCGGUUAAGGGGCUUAAAAUUGACCUUUUUUGUGUAUUUUUAGAUGUACAUAAAUUUUUUUUUUUUUCGUCUAUUGUUAAUGCGAAAAUCUUAUUAGAUGCGAUCACAU
rnacentral:misc_RNA from 1 species